UUUGAACCAUAUCCAACUCAACCUUUUGCUAAAAACUACAAAACUAAAGAGCAACAGCCAAAUUGUAUUACGACUUUUGCGUCUACCUUGGGAAAUCCCUUUCUAUUUGUAUUUCGCGCUUCGUGUCACGUGAUUCAGACACAAACAAACAAAAUGGCGGAGGCUUCGAAAUCUACAAUGAGCGAACCAGCCAAAACAGAGGGAGAGAUGAGAAGAAGUAAAUGCGUGAGACAGCCAUCUAAGAGAAUGUUGUUGUAUUCUCAGGACACAGAUUCAGAUUCAAGUCUACAGAAGAGUUAAGGAAAACGUCCUGCCAGAAAGAUCCAGAAAGUUGAUACAUUAGCAACAAUAACUAAGUGGUGCUCUUGUCACAGAUGCCCACAAUACCAUAGAGUGGAAGAUCGAAUUUGCUGUGGGAUGGUCCCAGAAUUAUGCUCAAGUCACAGAACUGAGAUGACUCUAUCGGUGCUGGAUAGGAUGACCCUCUACAGUCAGCAGCAUUAUCAACAAGAUGUGUUUUCCUUUUAUGCAGAGACACUAGAAGAUGUCAAUAAAUCUUUCAGACAUGCUGCAUACAGACAAUUUACCAUCUUAAUGCAUGAGAAUAACUGUCCCAGCAUGUUGUGUUAAAUUAAUAAGGGAGAAGUUUCCUAGUCCUUAAGGCCAGUAUACAGGCUUCGUACCAGGUGAAGGCCCAGUGUUCUAAUAAUUUUGCAU